AGUGAACGCUGGCGGUAGGCCUAACACAUGCAAGUCGAACGGCAGCACAGUAAGAGCUUGCUCUUACGGGUGGCGAGUGGCGGACGGGUGAGGAAUACAUCGGAAUCUACUUUUUCGUGGGGGAUAACGUAGGGAAACUUACGCUAAUACCGCAUACGACCUACGGGUGAAAGCAGGGGAUCUUCGGACCUUGCGCGAUUGAAUGAGCCGAUGUCGGAUUAGCUAGUUGGCGGGGUAAAGGCCCACCAAGGCGACGAUCCGUAGCUGGUCUGAGAGGAUGAUCAGCCACACUGGAACUGAGACACGGUCCAGACGCCUACGGGAGGCAGCAGUGGGGAAUAUUGGACAAAGGGCGCAAGCCUGAUCCAGCCAUACCGCGUGGGUGAAGAAGGCCUUCGGGUUGUAAAGCCCUUUUGUUGGGAAAGAAAAGCAGCAGGUUAAUACCCCGCUGUUCUGACGGUACCCAAAGAAUAAGCACCGGCUAACUUCGUG
rnacentral:rRNA from 1 species